rnacentral:rRNA from 1 species
AGAGUUUGAUCCUGGCUCAGGAUGAACGCUAGCUACAGGCUUAACACAUGCAAGUCGAGGGGAAACGACAUCGAAAGCUUGCUUUUGAUGGGCGUCGACCGGCGCACGGGUGAGUAACGCGUAUCCAACCUGCCCACCACUUGGGGAUAACCUUGCGAAAGUAAGACUAAUACCCAAUGACGUCUCUAGAAGACAUCUGAAAGAGAUUAAAGAUUUAUCGGUGAUGGAUGGGGAUGCGUCUGAUUAGCUUGUUGGCGGGGUAACGGCCCACCAAGGCGACGAUCAGUAGGGGUUCUGAGAGGAAGGUCCCCCACAUUGGAACUGAGACACGGUCCAAACUCCUACGGGAGGCAGCAGUGAGGAAUAUUGGUCAAUGGGCGAGAGCCUGAACCAGCCAAGUAGCGUGCAGGAAGACGGCCCUAUGGGUUGUAAACUGCUUUUAUAAGGGAAUAAAGUGAGUCUCGUGAGACUUUUUGCAUGUACCUUAUGAAUAAGGACCGGCUAAUUCCGUGCCAGCAGCCGCGGUAAUACGGAAGGUCCGGGCGUUAUCCGGAUUUAUUGGGUUUAAAGGGAGCGUAGGCCGGAGAUUAAGCGUGUUGUGAAAUGUAGACGCUCAACGUCUGCACUGCAGCGCGAACUGGUUUCCUUGAGUACGCACAAAGUGGGCGGAAUUCGUGGUGUAGCGGUGAAAUGCUUAGAUAUCACGAAGAACUCCGAUUGCGAAGGCAGCUCACUGGAGCGCAACUGACGCUGAAGCUCGAAAGUGCGGGUAUCGAACAGGAUUAGAUACCCUGGUAGUCCGCACGGUAAACGAUGGAUGCCCGCUGUUGGUCUGAACAGGUCAGCGGCCAAGCGAAAGCAUUAAGCAUCCCACCUGGGGAGUACGCCGGCAACGGUGAAACUCAAAGGAAUUGACGGGGGCCCG